rnacentral:lncRNA from 1 species
AGUCCAGUACAUCUGAUUGCACUUCUCCUUUGCUUUGUUCCCACUUCCAGCAUGCAUUUUCUUCAAAUUUUACAUCUUUGCUGAUUGUUAUUUUCUUGGUAAUAGGAUCAAAGAGUUUGUAUGCUUUGGACUUCUUGCUCACACCAAGAAAAAUGUGUGCUUUACUUUUGUCAUCUAGCUUUAUUCUUUUCUGAUCUGGAACAUGUACAUGAGCAAGACAUUCAAAUACUCGGAAGUGAUCCACUCUUGGUUUGCAGCCAGUCCAUGCUUCUUGUGGAGUCAUGUUUUCAAGAGUUGUUGUUGGACAUCUAUUAAGAAUGUGAAUCGACCAAUUUGCUGCUUCAGCCAAGAAUUCCUUUGGCAUUUGUUUCUCAGACAACAUGGAGCGCACCAUAUUCAUGAUCGUCCAGUUCUUCCUCUCAGCGACACCAUUUUGUUGGGAAGUGUAUGCUGCCGUUAGUUGUCGAGUGAUCCCAUGAGUGCUGCAAAAGUCUGUAAACUCCUUUGAGUUAUACUCGACUCCUCUAUCCGUUCUCAAACACUUGAUGCUUGUUCCAACCUCUUUUUCAGCCCAUGUUUUGAAUUCUUUAAAAACCUCCAAUGCUUCUAAUUUCUAAUUCAAAAAAUAUAUCCAAGUUUUACGUGUAAAGUCAUCAAUAAAACUUAGGAUAUACCUCUUAUUGCUGUUGGAAAUUGGGCUAAUAGGACCACAAAUAUCUGAGUGAACAAGCUGCAAUUUGUGUGUUGCUCUCCAGAGAUUUCUUUUAGGAAUGGGAUCUCGGUGCUGCUUCCCGACGAGACAAUGUGUGCACAACUUCUGUGGAGUUUUCACAGUAGGCAGCCCUUCAACCAUUCCUCGAUAUGCAAGAGUUCUGAGUCCCUUGUAGUUGAGAUGUCCAAACCGUGAAUGCCAUAGUCGUGAUUCAUCAUCAGCUUCAACUUGCAUACAUUUAGGUAGAUUUGACACCAUCUUCGCCAAGAGAUAGAACAUUUUAUUUCCACUCCUAUCUGAAUGCAUGAUUAGUCCUCUACUAGGAUGAAACACCUUGUAGGUGCCAUUCUGAAUC